rnacentral:lncRNA from 1 species
CCACUUCUUCCACUUUUUCCACCUCUUUCUCUUCUUCCAGUUCUUCUUCUUCUUCUUUCUCUUCUUAGAUAGGAUUGUUCUUUAAAAUAAAAUCAGUUGGAUCUACCUCCUCAUGUUAACAUUGGCCAUCAUGUAUAAGAAUUCUUAGAGCAUCCAACUUGAUAUCUAUUGAAGACCAAUGAAACCCUAAUAUUUUAUCCUCUUGAAAGCAUUCUGGUAAUUGGGGUUCUUCUUCUUCUUCGAAUACGUAAUAAAUAGCUCGA